rnacentral:rRNA from 1 species
GCAUAUCAAUAAGCGGAGGAAAAGAAACCAACAGGGAUUGCCUCAGUAACGGCGAGUGAAGCGGCAACAGCUCAAAUUUGAAAUCUGGCCUCUCGGGGUCCGAGUUGUAAUUUGUAGAGGAUGUUUUGGGUACCGCCCCGGUUUAAAUUUCUUGGAACAGAAUGUCAAAGAGGGUGAGAAUCCCGUCUUGGACCGGCGGUAGGGCCUGUGUAAAACUCCUUCGACGAGUCGAGUUGUUUGGGAAUGCAGCUCAAAAUGGGUGGUAAAUUUCAUCUAAAGCUAAAUAUUGGCCAGAGACCGAUAGCGCACAAGUAGAGUGAUCGAAAGAUGAAAAGAACUUUGAAAAGAGAGUUAAACAGUAUGUGAAAUUGUUGAAAGGGAAGCGCUUGCAACCAGACUUGAGCGCGACGGUUCCCCUAGCCUUUUGGCUAGGCUACUCCGUCGUGUCCAGGCCAACAUCGGUUCUGAGGGUCGGUCAAAGGCCCCGGGAAUGUACCUACCCACGGGUAGACUUAUAGACCGGGGUGUCAUGCGGCCUCUCGGGACCGAGGAACGCGCUUCGGCUCGGAUGUUGGCGUAAUGGUUGUCAGCGACCCGUCUUGAAACACGGACC